UUUUUCAUUAAUUAAACCACCAUUCAUAUAUAUAUAUAUAUAUAUAGUUUUAUAUUCGCUAACCAAUCAUUGAAUAUGUGAUUUUGGCAGACACAUUAAACGACAUGAAAUAGAAUGUUCAAAAAGCUGUAUUGAACUGUGGGAAUAUGUGAAAGUACUCCAUUGGCACACAUUGUCAGUAUCACACCACCAUAACCCCUUUCGGAGGUAUCAUUCACUUACUUGUACAAUCGCAAUUUUGCAUACUUAUUAUUUGCGUGUGUGUGGAUGUAUACAUUCAGUAUAUGAAACAUAGCUCAAGAAUGAAAAUAUUAGUUUGAAGUAUUGUUCACAUCUGGAGUAAACGGGGAAUCAGGGUUCGAUUCCGGGGAGGGAGCCUGAGAAAUGGCUACCACAUCCUAGGAGCAGGUGCGAAAAUUACCCACUCCCGACAUGGGGAGGUAGUGACGAAAAAUACGAAUACGGGACUCAAUUGAGGCUCCGUAAUUCGAAUGAGUACAAUACAAAUCUUUUAACGAGGACCAAUUGGAGGGCAAGUCUGGUGCCAGCAGCCGCAGUAACUCCAGCUCCAAA
rnacentral:ncRNA from 1 species